AUAAGUAGGGUGCAAGCGUUAAUCGGAAUUACUGGGCGUAAAGCGUGCGCAGGCGGUUUUGUAAGACAGAGGUGAAAUCCCCGGGCUAAACCUUGGAACUGCCUUUGUGACUGCAAGGCUAGAGUACGGCAGAGGGGGAUGGCAUUCCGCGUGGAGGCGUGAAAUGCGUAGAUAUGCGGAGGAACACCGAUGGCGAAGGCAAUCCCCUGGGCCUGUACUGACGCUCAUGCACGAAAGCGUGGGGAGCAAACAGGAUUAGAUACCCUGGUAGUCCACGCCCUAAACGAUGUCAACUGGUUGUUGGGUCUUCAUUGACUCAGUAACGAAGCUAACGCGUGAAGUUGACCGCCUGGGGAGUACGGCCGCAAGGUUGAAACUCAAAUGAAUUGGCGGGG
rnacentral:rRNA from 1 species